rnacentral:lncRNA from 1 species
CUUGGCACAAUAUACCUGGAAGAUAACGUGAAUUCAGAGGUGUUUCCUGUUUUCUCUUUCAGGGAAAUCUUGAGGAGUUUGAUCCUUUCCACCCAGCAGCCAUUAACCAUCUUGUGGGAAGCUGUACAUUGGAAGAAUCCCAGGCAAGCGGUUCCUGGCCCUCGCAGUGCAGUUGAGGGAAUCUGGAAGCAGCAUGCGGGCACCAGCGCUGAGGGAAGCCAUGGGCCUAGGCCACAGGUGAGUGCCCGGUCUGCAGGACCGCGUCAGCUCUGCAGAGUCCCAGUGUGACCCCAUCAGUCCUGCUUUUGCAAAAUGCUGGAAUGCUUCGUCUCUUUAAAAAUUAACCUGUAAGACUCCUUUGUGCCUGUCAAAAGCUUUUCCCAGUCCGUGAAAUAAGACUCUGUCUCCCCAACUACCCACUGCCGUGAUGUUCCUGCAUUGGAACGAGCCAAGCAUGAACUGAACCCCUGGGAACCAUUAGCCAAUGUACACGCCCCUUCUCACUUUAAGAGAGUGGGAGGUGAGGAAGGAAUUUCCUUUGGAACUGAGCUUCUAGUUGUCCAGGCUGCCAGGAAACAGGGAGCAUCACCCCCGUCAUGGGGAGCAGGAGGGGAGGGGCACUGAGCACCCCACUGGUGCUAACAAGGCCCUCUUGGUGACAGUCUCCAAGGCAGAGCUGGCUGGGGACCGUGUUGUCCCUCUCAGAAUCAGGCCAUUAGAAUGGUUAGGGAGCAUAAUAGCUAGGAGAUGCCUCAACCUCUGGUUUUAAAAGUGUGAAAGGCCAGCAGUCUUUAUAGAUGCAGUGCUGGCCAUCUAAGUCUGUGCUUUGACCACGACUACGAAAGGUGUGUGUGUUCCUGUCGACAAGAGAUAAAUAGAAUAACAGACCACAGAAGACAGAUGUGAAAAGAAAACAAAACAAAAACCCAUAUUUUUUUGCUGGCCUUGAAAAAUAGACCAAGUCUUAUGUGUGAAUCACAGAAUCUCUGCCUUCCACAGUUACAAAGAUGACGACCCAAUCCAGGUUGCUAGGAAAGUGCUAGAAAAAGAUACAAGCCUCUAAUGUAGGACCCU